AUAAUUAAAGGGAAAAUAUAGAGUUUCCAGAGAAGCAGAGCUGGAGACAGCAAUGGAAGGACAGGACUUCAUCAAUUAUCCCAACCAUGUGGCAGUAACUUGUGGCCCAGGAUCUGCCCCCGCCUAAUGCCAGUGCCUGUAGGGCAAGGCUGGGGCUGAGAUGCUGAGAUGGUAGUUCCGGAACUCACCAAAGUCCUGCCUUCCACUGUGGUCAGUUCCAAAGGAUGCCCCACUCCCCAACAGUGGACAAGGAUGGUGUACCUCAGAGGGAACAGGUGUUUGAGGUGGCUGUGUCCAGGGUAGAAUGCCACGAAGCGUGCGCACACACACACACACACACACACACACACACACACACACGCGCGCGCGCGGUGUGAUCUGCUCACCCUUUGUUGGGUUUUGUAUCAGAAAAGCACUUAUCCAAAGCUCCCUUUCCCUGCUCCCAAUCUAGCAUCCCCAAGGCUCACCUGGAAGAAGAGACAAGAGCCUAACAGGCCUUUGCCCCAGGAGUUGAAGGCAAUGGGUUCCAAGCUUCCUUUACACGUGGCAUGGAGCUGCAGCUCAGGACCUCCUCUGCCACUCUCUACUUGAAACGAUUGGCGGGUGCCCAGCUCAGAGAUGUGUCUUUAAUUUCUGCAGCAUGACAGAGAGAGGAAGAAUGUGCUUGGGGUCUCCUCCCAGCCUGGCGGGGCCUCCCUGGCUGGGCUGAGGGCUGGAGACUGGGGGAGGGGGAGUUGGAGCUGGGAAGGGAGGAGAACGCCACGCCACGCCACGCCACCUCAUCUUUAGGAAACUCUAAAGCUCUGGCUUUUUGAGGAAUGUAGGGCUUUGUCAGGCACUUGGAGUGUAGGGAGAGCAAAAGCCAGAAUCUCCACCCCCCCCCACCCCCAAGAAUGGUAAAGUCAUCAGCCGUUGGGGGAAAAAAAUUCCUCAAGAAGAAAAACAGAAAGAGGAAAGUGCUGAGCUCUGAGUUCUGUCUCUCUCCAAAUUUUCCCAAAUGUUUCCCCCCCCACGAGGGAGGGAGAAGACCCGUCUGGACUCUACGGUGUGGAACAGAAGCAGAGGCAGCCUAGGUAUAAAUGUAGCAGACCUUCCAGCCGUUCACUCUGUCCAUCUACAGAAGCAGCAGAUGUGGGAGAGACGGCAUGAAAGACAAGACCACCAUAUCAUUCCAGCCCGAAUCUGGGAGCCCCGGACAGUCCCAGACAGCAGCUCCAGGCCCUCAGCUGGGCCCUGUGACCAGAGGGGGAAGGGAGCAUGGUGGGCAGGGAGGAACUGCCACCUGGAAGGGCUUGAUGGGAACCAGCUGGCUGGGGUGGGGCCUCGGGUGUGUGGGUUGCAGGGAGGGCGGGGCAAGACAGGGCAGCAGGCCACAGUGGGCGGGCAACUGACAGCGCUGGGCUGGGAGUGGCUGCUGGAGGCCCCCACCUUCCCGAAGGCUGGAGUCCAGAUGCCUCUACAGCCGGCCAGGCUCUUCCAACCCGCUGACCUCAUUCCCAGCUCCCGCCCGUGCAGCCCCCCUCAACUGCCUGCCACGUAGACUAGAGCCUCAGCAGGACUCCGUAGGGGUGGCUGCAAGAGGGCCCAGGCACCCUUAGCCUAGAAACCUGCUCAGAGAGACAGAGCUAGGGAAGGUAGCUGUGACCACUUGGUGCCUCAGUUUCCCUUCCCCAAAUAUGAGUCCCAGUGAAUGGAGAGGAGCUAAGUGUGAAGCAGGUUAGAGUUGCCAAACAAGAGUCAAGGUGGGGGUGAGAGGGAGGUCCCUAGAGGUCAUCCCAGCCAUCCCUCAGUUUCUUAAGUUUGGGGAGUAUUGCUCUCAAGAAGAGGCAGA